GCUAAACGCGAAGAACCUUACCUGGCCUUGACAUGUCCGGAAUCCUGCAGAGAUGCGGGAGUGCCUUCGGGAAUCGGAACACAGGUGCUGCAUGGCUGUCGUCAGCUCGUGUCGUGAGAUGUUGGGUUAAGUCCCGCAACGAGCGCAACCCUUGUGUCCAGUUGCGAUUUUCUGGACAGACUGCCGGGAGCAAACCGGAGGAAGGUGGGGAUGAUGUCAAGUCAGCAUGGCCCUUACACCCUGGGCGAGAAGCACGCUACAAUGGCCGGGACAGAGGGUUGCCAAGCGGUAACGUGGAGCUAAUCCCAGAAACCCGGUCUCAGUUCGGAUCGAGGGCUGCAACUCGCCCUCGUGAAGGUGGAGUCGCUAGUAACCGCAGGUCAGCACUACUGCGGUGAAUAUGUUCCCGGG
rnacentral:rRNA from 1 species